AAAAAAUUAAAUAUUUUUAUCAAAACAUACACUUUAUACACUAUAAAUAAAUCAAAAAUAUUUUAUUUAUUACAUUCGAGAUAAAAAGUAUGACUAAAAUAUUCAAGUUUGUAUACUAUAUGAUUUUAUUUAUUUUCCUAUUUCUUAUCAUAAAGAAUGUAGAAGGUAGUAGAUACUUAAAGAAGCCAGCCGAUGGUAAUUUAUUUUUCUCAUCCUUUUUUAAAAAAUUUCUUUUUUAAUUUUAAUUUAUAUACAAUAUUUUAUUUCAUUUUAGUAAAAUAAUUUUUAUUAUGUUUUUUCAUUGCAACAGCAAUGUUAAAGGAAUGUGAAAAGUCUGGUUGUCGACUAACUAAGGGUCAAAAGCGCAUAUGCGUCAUGAACAAAUGCAAAUCCGGAGAUAAAUCUUGCACUUUUUUGGAGUUGCCUUAGAAUCAUAUUAGUUACCAUAUUAGUUUUGUGUUUUUGUCAUGUAUCUUGUUCCAGAUACUUUUUUGUGCUUCAUAUUUUUGUUUUUGUUGUAAUUUGAUUUUCUUUCUUAUUUUAUAUAUUAUAUUUUCCAUUAAAAAAAGUGUUAUGAACAAAUGUAAAUCAUUUCCAGAAUGAAUAAGUAUUAAAAUGAAUGAGUAUUUAAAUCAUAAGAGUACACUUUGUAACGGUUUCUUAUUUUUAUUAUAAUAAAUAUUAAUAAUAAAAAAAUAAAUCAAUUUAAUGUGGUUCAUA
rnacentral:lncRNA from 1 species